UCUAUUAAUAUAGCAUUAUAUAAAUAGUAAAGCUUCGGUGGUAUAAGAUGAGUAUGCGUCCUAUUAGUUAGUUGGUAAGGUAACGGCUUACCAAGACGACGAUAGGUAGGGGCCCUGAGAGGGGGAUCCCCCACACUGGUACUGAGACACGGACUAGACUCCUACGGGAGGCAGCAGUGAGGAAUAUUGGACAUGGAAUGCCUCUUUCAUCCGCCCUGUCGCGUGCAGGGAAUAAGGCCCUAUGGGUUGGUAAAUGCCUUUAAAAGGAAAAAA
rnacentral:rRNA from 1 species